UCAGAGGAGCUGUCCGAUCGGCACCACACUGUUUGCGACAGAAAUAGUUCCUUUUACACAAGCCACAUUAACCGGGCUUACAGUGGCCGAGUCACCCUUGAUCGGAUUUUCUGCUCAGAAUUUCCUUCAUUUCGUUGGUCAGGCAUGGCACUACUUUGUAGAAAUAGUUGUAGGCCUACGUGUUGCUUUUGGAGUGGACCUGUUUAGGAUUCACUUUUACGCGCUAAACUUACGAGUAGAUUUUGUUAGAGAGCUUUUCACUUGGCAGUAAACGCCGCCAGUAUGCUUUCCCACUUGUACGGAUUGUUAUGUUUUUGUGCACUGGGCUGCGGUCGAUUAGCGAGCGGCCAGGCGGACGAUGGGAAGCGGUAUAUCUGCCGGGCAAUACCCCUCAGCGGCGACGCCAGUUGCCCUGUGACAUUGUUACCCGAGCUAAACGCCGGGAGCCAGGAAGAGGAGCUCAGAAACACCGUCAUGCAGCUAAGGGAGACAAUCUUACAGCAGAAAGAAACGAUUUCCAAACAGAGAGGCACCAUCAACGAGCUGACCACCAAGCUGUCGCUCUGCGCCUCGGCCACGGAUGAUAGAAUUAACGAAAAGGGGGGUUCCUGGGGCAAAGAAAAGCAAAAUACAAUGGGCGACGUUCCCAGAGAUCCAAAUGACACCAUCGACAGUCUUGGAAAAACCAUGCAAGGGCUCAAGGAUCGGUUGGAGAACUUGGAGCAACAGCAGCUGCGAGCCAACGUGUCUGGCGCCUCGUUUCCCAGCGAGCUCCGCGACCUGCUGCAGCGUCGGCUCGGGCAGCUGGAGAAGCAGCUCCUGAAGAAAGUCACCAACCUGGAGCAGGAGAAGAGCAUGCUGUCCAAUGCCACAGCCGCCUACAGGCUGAAGACAGAGAGCACGCUGAACGCCCUGGUGGACAGGAUCAGUGAGCUGGAGAAAGGAGGAGGAGACUUCAAGUCCCCAGAGCAGUUUAAGCUGUCCCUCCCCCAGCGGACCAACUACCUGUAUGGCCGCAUCACCAAGAGCCUGCCAGAGAUGUACGCCUUCACACUCUGCAUGUGGAUCAAGUCCAGCGCCAGUCCUGGCAUUGGGACGCCCUUCUCUUAUGGCGUGCCAGGGCAAGCCAAUGAGAUUGUGCUGAUCGAAUGGGGCAAUAACCCAAUAGAGCUGCUCAUCAAUGACAAGGUCGCCCAGUUGCCUUUGGAGGUACGUGAUGGAAAGUGGCACCACAUCUGCAUCUCCUGGACCACGCGGGACGGCCAAUGGGACGCUUACCAAGACGGAGGAAAGCUGGGAACUGGCGACAACCUGGCGGCCUGGCACCCCAUCAAACCCGGGGGGGUCAUUAUCCUGGGGCAGGAGCAGGACGUAGUGGGCGGGCGCUUUGAUGCCGGACAGGCCUUCGUGGGCGAGCUGAGUCAGGUGAACAUUUGGGACCGUAUUCUGAAGCCGGUCGAGAUCCAGUCCAUGGCUAACUGCAGCUCUUACAUCCCUGGGAAUGUGAUUUCUUGGCUAGCAACCAACGUUGAAGUUUUUGGAAGGGGAGCGUUCAAGCGACCCUUGGAGAUGUGUCUCGAACGACUGCCCAAUGCUUAAAACUCAUCUGUCUGCCAUUCUGCUUUUUUUUAAUCGUCUGCUCUUACUGUGAGGCAGUUUAUGUACUUAAAGGAGACAUAUCAUGCUCCAUUUCAUGUUCAUACUUGUAUUUUAGGUUUCUUCUAGAACAUGUUUUUAUGCUAUCAUGUUGUACAUUGAUGAAUUUAGUUUGAUCUGCUCUGUACGGCGAGAUAUUUGAGAUUUGUGACCCAGACAAGAGGUCAUGUGGAGGCUAAAUACCAUCAUUGACUGAUGGCUCUUUCUUUAAAGUGUCAAUCAGAGAGCUUUGUAGCAACAUUUCUUUAUUUACCAUGACUAAAAUACUUUAUUCCUCCAAUACACCCACCACCAUGGUUAAGGGUUCCCACAGGUAUCAAUGCUCAGACAUCAUGUGCAUCCUCAUCCCCACACAGUCUCCCACACACCCCUCCCUCACCACUCAGUAAUGAAAAUCCUCUCUAGCACAGACAGCCU